rnacentral:pre_miRNA from 1 species
UGUGUACUCUCUCUGUUCGAAAAAACUUGUCCCUCAAAUGGAUGUAUCUAGCACAAAGUUUUAGUGCUAGAUAUAUCCAUUUGAAAGACAAGUUCGGGACAAGCUUUUCCGGAUGGAGGGAGUAUGAG